UAUAGAGGGUGCGAGCGUUUAAUCGGAAUUACUGGGCGUAAAGCGUGCGUAGACGGCUAUCUAAGUCGGGUGUGAAAGCCCCGGGCUCAACCUGGGAAUUGCAUUCGAGACUGAAUAGCUAGGGUGCGGUAGAGGGAAGCGGAAUUUCCGGUGUAGCGGUGAAAUGCGUAGAUAUCGGAAGGAACAUCAGUGGCGAAAGCGGCUUCCUGGACCAGCACCGACGUCAGGCACGAAAGCGUGGGGAGCAAACAGG
rnacentral:rRNA from 1 species